rnacentral:misc_RNA from 1 species
CCAAUUGUAUCACCAAGGGAAAUUUCAGAACAACCCAUAUCGCAAAGUCGUUUAGCAACAUAUGCAACAUUUGACGGAGAUAUCAUUCCUUCUACUGGACACCCCACAACACAUGAUAUAUAUCCACGAACAGGAAUUGAAAGCUUGCUGGCAGCAAGGGCAACAUCAUUAUAACGACCCAGACUAUCUUCAAUGCUGCAAUUGAUAUUUGACUUUGAAAAAGAUUCUGAAGCUGAUGCAAAGAUGGCAACUUCCUUCGCUCCAGCUGCAACAGCUGCUUCAAAACCUUUCAGAUUAGGAGUUAAUACUGGAAAUCUAGCACCUUCAAGAUCUCUAAUUGCUGCCAUUACAUCCUUUGCAUCAGCUAGCUGUGGUACCCAUUUUGGUGAGACAAAACUUGUUGCCUCAACAACAGGCAACCCAGAAGAAACUAGCAUUCUAAUCAACUCAACCUUGACAGGAGUAGGUACAACAUCCUUCUCAUUUUGUAAUCCAUCCCUUGGACCUACUUCAACUAUCUUCACAUAUUCUGGAAUGCUUCCUAAAACCUUGUCUGAAAAUCCUCUUAUUGAUUUGUCAUUUGACAAGAAAUUAUAAUGACGACUUGACAUGUGCCAAUCAUGGCAAUGAUUAUCAAUUUCUAAAGAAUUCCCACCAAUACUUGCAUGUGUAAGAGUCAAGAAACCAGCCGGAGAUACAUUUCUUCUUUGUCCACUCCAGUAUAUUGUCUCUCGUGUAUCAUUGGCACCUUCUGAAUAGGAAACUCCAAAAGAAAUGUGCCCUUGGAGCAAGCAGCUAUCACCUGAAUUAAUCGUCGAGGGAAAAGGGAUGCAACGCCGGCAAAGCUUAUCAAAAGCCUUCUUUGAGGCUAGCAUCGCAAAAUCAAACGAAGCUUCUAAAGCGAUUAAGCGAUUUGUUGAGAGGGGUGUCUUGCCUUGGACGAGGUCAAGCGAAGGCACGAACCUAGUGCGGCUGAAAUGAGGAACAGCGCCGCUGGAUUGUU